rnacentral:rRNA from 1 species
UACGUAGGGGGCGAGCGUUGUCCGGAGUUACUGGGCGUAAAGGGUCUGUAGGCGGUCGGCCAAGUAGGAGGUGACAGGGCUCGGCUUAACUGAGCCAGGUUCUACUAAACUGGUCGACUUGAGGACUUCAGAGGGACACGGAAUUCCGGGUGGAGUGGUGAAAUGCGUAGAUAUCCGGAGGAACACCAAAGGCGCAGGCAGUGUCCUGGGGAGUGACUGACGCUGAGGGACGAAAGCUAGGGGAGCGAACGGG